rnacentral:piRNA from 1 species
UGUUCUGUAACCUAGUUGAUGUCAGUAACC